rnacentral:lncRNA from 1 species
AGACUCCUCCUGGCUAUCUUCAGAUCAAGAUGUAGAACUCCCGGCUCCUCCUGCCCCAUGUCUGCACACUGCCAUGAUGAUAACAGACUGAACCUCUGAAACUCAACCUCUCAGCGGUAGUCCCAAUAAAAAGAGCUAUCAUUUACCGUGCACCCAGCAGCAUGCCAGGAUCAGCGGCAGCAAGUGUUCUGUACACCUCGCAUCUUUGUGUGCAUCAGACAUGUUGUAUCACUGAAGCCCACGAGGGUGGCUCUCUACAGAGAAGGAAAUAAAACUGAAUGAGGUUAAACCAGGCCACAGACCUUUGUGAUGGAGGGCAGGACCAGGACUUAAACCCAAGUGGACUCAGGUCAACUGCCCCAGUCCACAGAUGGAGCUCCUCACAAGGUCAAUUCAGCUUGUCCAUUUCACGUCCAUGUCAGCCUGAUGAGCUACUGUUUGGGGGAUGGUGAGUCCAGCCAGCUUGUCUAAGCAAAGAAUUCCUUCAGCACCAGGAGCACUGAUUUUCUUCACAUCCAGCUCACUAGACAGAACCCCAGGGGGCAAACCUAUGUUUCUCAGUCUUGCAUUCACAAGGUAAGCUUUUUUUGUUUGUUUUGUUUUGUUUUGUUUUUUUGUUUUUUCGAGACAGGAUUUCUCUGUGUAGCUCUGGCUGUCCUGGAACUCACUCUGUGGACCCGGCUGGCCUUGAACUCAGAAAUCAGCCUGCCUCUGCCUCCCAAGUGCUGGGAUUAAAGGCAAUCGCCACCACACCCUGCCACAAAGUAAGCUGUUAAUAGAUUCCUGGUUAAUGAAGAUUAUUUAAGACAGCCCAUUGUUUUCAAGAUGACUAUUAAAUAUAAUUUAGCUUUCGUGUGUA